UCCCUGGUAGUAUAUCGGUUAAUACACCUGUGCUCUUUGUCACUAUUAACUAAAGUCAAUGUUUAUGUUGAAGUCUUCGCGUAAAAACUGGGUUCGACUCCCAGUCAGGGAG